UGUGCGCGCGCACACUCGUGAAAACGCCGAGUGCGGCGCCGCUUCCUUGGGCGGGCCGGCGGAAGCGUUUGUCAUCCGGGCUCCCUGCGAACUGUCCAAGUGUGGACAGAACUGAGCAGCUUGGGUCAUCUGUUGCCUGCCUUUGAAAAUGCCUGAAGUCUGUAGAUGCCUUGACACAUGGAGAAAAGCACCUUUGGAGCAACUUCAAAAGCAGAGUGGGGAGCCAGUUCUCAGGAGUGCAGUAACUGUUACAAUAUUUGAGGCACCCCUCUUUGACUAGAGCAGUGAUUCUCAACCAGGGUGCUGCCAGAUCCUUUGAAGGCUGCCUGGAGGUGUGAGGAGAUAAGCAGCAAAGUGCAGGCUCAAGCUUGUCCCUGCCUGGAUGAUUCCUCAUGCCCACUGACCAACCCUUCCAGGGAGGUACUGACUUCAACUGAGUACUAAUGGAGAGGAAGACAUUUAUUAAACCCUGGAAAUAUGCACUGCUGUGGCUACAGGAAGCUUUUUCCCCCCAGUACAAUACAUAAUCAUCCAUAUUAAUAAGGUUUUUAAAUUAUUUAUGAAGUGCUAUAUUUAGUAGCUAAGCCUUUGAAUAACUAUGCAAUGGAAUUAUGUUGAGAAUGGAUGUAUUUCACUGAAAUGGAUGUAGUACAAAGAUACAGUACCUAAAAAUAACUCCAUACGAUAAAACAGAAUAAAGCUUAUACAGAAGGGCAGCAUUUCAUUUCCCUGAAGCUCUUCCUCAUAUAAAGCCAAAAAUUGAAUUCACCUAUUGCCAAUUGCACAUUAACACAUACAGUACCUUUGUAAGAAAAGCACAGCUGAUAAAGAAACUCACUUUCUC